AGUGAACGCUGGCGGUAGGCCUAACACAUGCAAGUCGAACGGCAGCACAGGAGAGCUUGCUCUCUGGGUGGCGAGUGGCGGACGGGUGAGGAAUACAUCGGAAUCUGCCCAGUCGUGGGGGAUAACGUAGGGAAACUUACGCUAAUACCGCAUACGACCUUCGGGUGAAAGAGGGGGAUCGCAAGACCUCUCUCGAUUGGAUGAGCCGAUGUCGGAUUAGCUAGUUGGCGGGGUAAUGGCCCACCAAGGCGACGAUCCGUAGCUGGUCUGAGAGGAUGAUCAGCCACACUGGAACUGAGACACGGUCCAGACUCCUACGGGAGGCAGCAGUGGGGAAUAUUGGACAAUGGGCGCAAGCCUGAUCCAGCCAUACCGCGUGGGUGAAGAAGGCCUUCGGGUUGUAAAGCCCUUUUGUUGGGAAAGAAAUCUUUCAGGCUAAUACCCUGGGAGGAUGACGGUACCCAAAGAAUAAGCACCGGCUAACUUCGU
rnacentral:rRNA from 1 species